UUGACUUUGUAUCCGCAGAAACCGCGUGCGCUCGCCUCCGACGUAAACACCAUGAGCCGUUAUUUGACAAUAAUAAAUCUUGUAAUAAUGCUGAGUGCCUUUGUGAUACAAGGAGACGAACGUGCCAGAGAUACAGAAAAUGGAAACAAAACGAUUAGCAACUUCACCGACAAGGACCUACCUGAAGUAGAGCUGAUGUUAUUGGAUAGGGUAGUAUUGAGAAGACUAGCGUCAGUCGAGAAUUAUGGCCGAAAAAGCUCUAAGCCAAAGCCCAAACCCAAACCUAAACCUAAACCAAAGCAAAAUUCAACUAUUUCAACCACCACCCCAUCAACAUCGUCAUCAUCAUCAACUUCAUCUGGAAGACCUUGUACGUGCGCGCUCGGUGUCUGCAAGUGCUGUACUGGAUUGAUUUUGGACCUUUUCAACCAGAAAGCGUGUAUGAAGAUCACUUAUCACCCGGGAGACUUCGCUUUCGAUGUCGCUAUGUCUAUGAACGACAGGAUUCUUUAUGAAAAUUCCAUGUCAGGUAAAAAUCCGAAACCAAUAUGUAUAAGCCCACCCAGGUUAUCGAACUUGAAAGUGUGUGCGAGAUUCUACAAUGUGUUUUUUCCUGGAAGGAACUUUCACUUUUGUUUAGCAAUGACUGGCCAGUGGCGAUCGAUUCAACUGUUUGACAUGGCUUUCGACUGCCUGAGAAUGGGUGCUAACGGCAUUGCUAUGAUGAAACCUGAAGAUGCUGGUGGUAUUGUCAUUCCGAAUCCACAGGGAGGAGUGGAUGCAGUCAUUGACGCUGGAGAGGAUGACAUUGAAGAUUACGAUGAAAACCUAGUCAAGUCUUUUUUCGGCAUUUUUGAUGAUUGACGAAGAAAAUGUACUUAGUAAUUCGAAAGCAUCCUUACUAUUAUUAACUUAUUUUAAAUUAUUCUAACUUAUGAUAAUAUAUGCUAGCAUUGUUAUUUAUUACACAAUCGUUUUGUGAACCUUUCUAUGUUUUUACUUAAUUAACUAUUCUAUGUAAGUGUUAAGUUACAUAUGCAUGUAUGCGUAAAACAACGUCCAAUGUGAAAUAAAGAUGGCCAUUACUACAGAGUCGCGCCAGUAUCGAUCCGAUGCGCCUGAGUUUCUCUCUAGAAAGUCCCGCAAGACAGUUGCGCUCGCACAUAACUUGCAUACAAAUGUUUAUAUACGAACCUUUGCCAGUGCUUACGUAGGUUAACGAGGUGCUAUCAUUUGUAUGGUGUCCCCAGAGGUAGAAGCAAUCGAGGUUUAACACACAAAAUGAAAAUGAAAUUGAUUUAUUUGUGUUUGGUGAUGUGCGGUGCCGUCGUCAGUGCAGGCUCAAAGUCGUCAAAACGAAAUGAUCUCAAGAAGAGCCCAAGAAAUGAAAACGUCAUGGACGUCGAAGACUUCUCAGUUUACUACGACAUCGAAACCAACGAGAUGAUCAAAGACAUCAUGCCUCGACCCUGGUACAAGCCUGGGUGGAUGUUGAGGCUGCCGUUCACAGGAGGCAGGUGCAACUGUGAGGGUCUGCAAUGCACUUGCUGCACCGGCAUCCGAAUCCAGGCCUUCAAGUUUGACAGGAGAACAUGUGCCGUGUUGACCUA